rnacentral:lncRNA from 1 species
GGCAGGGGCGGGUGCAGGCUCAGCCCCUCGGUGUCCCAGGCAGCUAGGGGGUGGGGUGCUGUCUGCACAGGCAGGCUGAGCUUAGGACCGAGGCCCCUCUCUGCAGCCUGGUACAGGCAGUGUCCACAUAGCCCAGGACUUCUCCACCUCAGCACUAAUGACACAUAGGGGCAGAUGAUUCUCGGGAGCGGGGCGUGAGGCUGUCCUGUACAUUGUAGGAUGUUGAGCAGCAUCCCCGGCCUCUACCUAUUAGAUGGCGAUAGCAUCCCCCGUCUCAAAUUAUGUAAGGCAAAAAGAUUUUCAAAUGUCCCCUGGGGACAAAAUCAACCCGAGUUAAGAGCCACUGACUGAGACCGGCAGCUCUCUCUCCUCACCCACCAGUUCCCAUGUUCCAUGCUUUUCCUGGGUAAUGAACCCCCGUCAGGGCCCAGGAGCUGACUGCAGCAGCUGCUUCAUGUACAUCUCACUGCAUCCUCCCACCAACGCUGUGAUGUGGAGGUGAAGAAGAUCUCCAUUUUACAGGAGAAGAAACGAAGACCUGGAAAGCACUGAUGACUUCAGGUUGCAGCCAGCCAUCAGGGAGCCAGCAAUAGAUGCAAGGAUUGGAGGACUCUGAGGCUAAUAUGGAGUAGAAUGCUCAGUAAAUGCCAGCUGCAGUGGGGUGGCCAUCCCAGGGGAUGAUGCCCCAGUGCCCAGGUCCUCUGUGCAAGUUCAUCCCAAGCUGUGCCAUCCCUUCCAAAUCCUUCACAAGCCAGAUGCAGGAGCGAAUCUUGUCACUGAGUUGCAGUCAUGGCCUAAGGGUGUUUCAGGAUAAACAGAAGAAGCAGAGGACAGCUGAUCUGGAUGUGUUGCCUCCCCCACUAACAUUAUUGUUACCCUCUUGGAAUUAGAGACCAUGCCAGCCUGUAUCUCCUCCUUCCUCUCUGUCCUGUGCAGAGCUGAGUGUGUCCUCAAUGUUUACAUAAAAUGCCAUAAAUCAUGGAAUCUUUAAGCACAAGAGACCUCAGAGGCCAACUCCAAGCCACAAACAAGGAACCCUGAAUCGAAAGGGAAUCUAAAGCUUCAGGCAAAGAGAGAGGAGAUUGGAUGGUGUGUCAAGCACAGUGCUACCCCCUUUAUAGGCAUGGCAUUGAGGUAGGACAUGGGACUUGACUCUGGAGGCAGGGCUCAGGUACGGGACCAAACUGAAGACUAGCUAAAAUAGGGACAGGGUGAAAACACCUUUCCAUAGGAAAUGCCUGUCAGUGUGCCAUGUCAGUUUAUCAUUGCCAUGGCAACACCUGGAAGUUACUGCCCCUUUCCAUGGCAACAACCCGAUGACUGGAAAGUUUCCAACCCUUUUCUAGAAAUUUCUGCAUAAUGCACCCUUUAAUUUGCAUAUAAUUAAAAGUGGGUAUAAAUAUGACUGCAGGACUGCCUCUGAGCUGCUACUCUGGGCACAUUGCCUAUGGGGUAGCCCUGCUCUGCAAGAAGAAGUACCUCUGCUGCUGUGGUACACUGCCACUUCAAGAAAAGUUGCUAACACCACUGGCUAGCCCUUGAAGCCCUUGAAUUAUUUCCUAGGCAAAGCCAAGAACUCUCGCAAGCUAAACCCCAAUUUGGGGGGCUCACCUGCCCUGCAUCAGCGUAAUUUAAUACUCACAGCUACCCUCCAAAGCCAGCAUCAUGAUACCCACCUGAGAGGUCAGAAAACCGAGACACGGAGUGAUGGCGGCUGACUCAGUUCCCCUAGCUGGGACUCACAGCUGGAUGCAAGCUGCCUAACCUGAGGCUUCAGGCUCUAUCCACAGUCUGCAGGCAUACUGACUGGCCUCUGUUUAUGCAUCUGUGAAAUGGGGAUGAUGAGGGCAAGUAUUCAUACUAUGCCCCACCCAGCAGGCUUCAGGCAAUGAGGAACUAUAAGCAUGGAUGUGAAUGUGUUCUGGACAUGGAAUGGAUGAUACAAAGAGAAUGGAUACUCAGGUGCCCAGAGAGCCCUGGCUUUGUUCCUGGAAGUGGUCAGAUAAAAAAACCAAAAAAAAAAAAACAGUUUGGAUGUGGAGUCAGGAAGAACUAGGUUCAAAUAUUACCUUUUCCACUUAAUCAGUGCCUGACCUUUGGCAGGUAACUCUACCAACCCUUCCACCCGCCUUUUGUAAAUAUUCACAGAGUGAGGGUCAUGUGCAAGAUACAGAAGUCAGUCUGGAUUCAAAUAGGCUCUGCUGGGGUGACAUGUAGGAAUCUGCACAAGUGAUUUGUCAUCGUCACCAUCAUCAUCACUGAGGCACAGCACACAUAUAAUACAAUGCAUAAAUCUAAAAGCAAAACCUGAAGAAUUUCUGCAUGUGCAUAGUGUUGUAGACUAAAUUGUGUCCUCCCACCCCCUGAAAAGUUAUCUAUUGAAGUCCUGACCUUCAUAACUUGGGAAAAUGGCUGUAUUUGAAGACAAGAUCUUUAAAGAAGUAAAGUAAAAUGAGGCCAUUAGGGUGGGCCCUAAUCCAUUUUACUGAUGUCAUGCACGGAUGCAUGUGUACAGAGGAAAGGCCAUGUGAGGACACGGCGAGAAGACGGCCACCUGCAAGCCAAGGAGAGAGAUCUCAAGAGAGACCAAACCUGCUGGCCCCUGAUCUUACACUUCCAGCUUCCAGAAUUGUAAGAAAGUAAACUUCGGUUGUCCAACCUACCCAGUCUGUGGUAUUUUGUUAUGGUAGCCUGGUCAGACUAAUACACAUAACCUUGUGUAACCAGCACUACGAUUAGGAGCAGAAUAUUUCCAAUAACCCAGCAGCCCCUGCCAUCAUGACCUUCUCAAUCUUGCCCUCUACCCCCAGAAGUAAUCAUUGCUCUGAUCCCUGUUAUCAUCAACUAGUUCUGUCCAUUUCUGAACUUCAUAUAGGUGGAACCAUACAAUAUGUUUCCUUUGUGCCUGGCUUCUUUGACUCAGCAUUCCAUUUCUGAAAUGCAUCUUUCCUAUUGGGUGCAGCCGUCAUUCAUUCUUUUUCUUUGCUGUAUAAUAUUCCACCGUGUGACUUCAUCACAGUUUGUUUAUCCAUUUCCCCAUUGAUACACAUUUUGGUUGUUUCUAUUUUUUAGCUCUUUUGAAUAAAGCUCUUAUGGGCAUUCUUG